UACGAGAGGUGCAAGCGUUAUUCGGAUUUAUUGGGCGUAAAGGGUGUGCAGACGGUUUAUUAAGUCACCUGUUAAAUUCUCCAGCCUAACUGGAGCUCUGCGGGUGAAACUAGUAUGACUAGAGGAUGGAAGAGAGAAGUGGAAUUCUCGGAGUAGCGGUAAAAUGCGUAGAUCUCGAGAGGAACACCGAUGGCGAAGGCAGCUUCUUGGUCCAUAUCUGACGUUCAAACACGAAAGCGUGGGGAGCAAACAGGAUUAGAAA
rnacentral:rRNA from 1 species